UACGAAGGGGGGCUAGCGUUGCUCGGAAUCACUGGGCGUAAAGGGCGCGUAGGCGGGCUUGUAAGUCGAUUGUGAAAUCCCUGGGCUUAACCCGGGAAUUGGCAGUCGAAACUGCAAGUCUUGAGUUCUCGAGAGGAUGGUGGAAUUCCUGGAGUAGUACGUGAAAUACGUAGAUAUCCAGGGAGGAACACCGGGAGGCGAAGGCGGCCAUCUGGCGAGACACUGACGCUAAGGCGCGAAAAGCGUGGGUAGCAAACAGGAUUAGAAACCCCCAG
rnacentral:rRNA from 1 species